CAGAUUUGAUCCUGGCUCAGGAUGAACGCUAGCGACAGGCUUAACACAUGCAAGUCGAGGGGCAGCACAGGUAGCAAUACCGGGUGGCGACCGGCGCACGGGUGAGUAACGCGUAUGCAACUUACCUAUCAGAGGGGGAUAACCCGGCGAAAGUCGGACUAAUACCGCAUGAAGCAGGGGUCCCGCAUGGGGAUAUUUGCUAAAGAUUCAUCGCUGAUAGAUAGGCAUGCGUUCCAUUAGG
rnacentral:rRNA from 1 species